GGCCGGCGUGCGGGGGCUGCUGAGAUCUGCCGCCCUGUCCGUGUGUAACCAAACCUCAGCUGCUGCGGAAUGGACGGGUCCCCGGUCCUGGUCCCUCAGCCUCGGGGCACCUCCCGGCCUGUCCUGGCUGCUUUGAUGAGUAGCAGCACCGGGAUUUGCCUGAAGGAUAAUUGGUGAUGUCCAAGCAGGCUCAGCGGAGCGGCCUGGGCAGGAGCUUGGAGCAUGCUAUCUUGGUGUGCGGGACAUGUCUGCGCCAGUUCUCAGAGAUAAAGCCCUUCAUUCUGCACAAGACCCACCAUGUGCAGGGUGGCAGUGUCUACAGCUGUGAGCUGUGUGCGAGAGCCUUCUCCUCCCACACCGUCCUGCUCUACCACUAUCAAACCCUUCACCAGCUGCAGACGUGGGACCCCAGCACAUGGGGUAGCACCGCUGCCAGCCCAGCCUCACCUGCUGGCCCUGAGAUCCCAGACACCGAGCCAGCUGAUCCGGGCAUGGACAUUCGUUUCAUCCUGACCACGGAGACUGUCAAGGGGAGAGCGUUUGAUUAUGGCCGGAUGGUCUUACAGUGCCUGCACUGUACCCAGAAAUAUUACUCCAAGGAGGGGCUUGUUGGCCACGUGCAUGCCAUGCAUCCUGGGACUGAAGGCCUGCUGCUGCCCAGGUGGCGUUGCAGGGGUUGGCGAGAGUCCUGAGUGUGGCUGAAUACGAGGUGUAUGUGAAAUCUGUGGGGCACAGAAGUGGCCCCCAGAAGAACAAAUCUGGGAGGCCUCUGGAAAGACCCCAUGGGAAGAAGUUUGUUUGCCCAGUUUGCAAGAAGGGCUUUACUAGAAAGCACAUACUCCAGCUUCACACCAGCACCCACCAAGCUGGCUGCAGCCUCUUCUGUGGCAGGCAGUGGGCAACCUCCCCCCGGUGACACCACCAGUAUCAGCAGUGCAGUUUCCAGUCGGUGGUCAGCGUGGUGGCAUGGCUGCACCGGCAGGAGCACCGCCAGGGGACGGUGACCUGCGGGGUCUGCCACUGUGCCUACCUGGACCGGUCCACACUCAACAAACACAUGAGGGUGCAUGAUGCGGAGCGGCCCUAUGGCUGCAGCUUCUCACACUGUGGCUGGAGGUUUAAGAGUGAGACGCUGCUGAGAGCGCAUCUGUAAGCCCACGUCACUCCAAGGCAGUUUGAAUGCCCCUCCUGUGGCUACGCCUUCCGCCACAAGCAUCACUUGCAGUGCCACCAAGCCAGAAUGCAUGUCAUUCCCUCCAGCAGGGUGAAGAAACCAGAUGUCCGCCCAGUGGCACAGCUCAGGCGCACACAGCAGGGAGAUUCAGGAACAGAGCCCAACGCACGCCCUCUCAAGAGAGCAGGAUGCGAGCCUCCGAAAUACAAGAUCCUCCUGCAACGUUAGCUGCAGCGUUGGCUUCGGAGGACAGUUCCCCCUGGCCUGGGCGCGAGGCACCAAGUACCUGUUGCUCACUGGGGCUGAGUGCAGAAGCAGGGUUGACAAAUGGACUCUUUCCAGUGGCCAGCUUAGACAUAAGGAUCCAUGAACAUCCAUCAUCUGCAAUUCCUACAACAUCAGAGUGAUUGGCUGGUCCCACCCGCAGUGCUGCAACUAAACAUACGUCAGAUGGUAAAUUACCUGGAUAAUAAAAAGACUUUCUUCAUCAUCCAAUAAAACCAGGGAUGAGUUUGUAAUGCGAACCAACCAAUUCCAGCUAGACUCACAGAUGAAAAGAUUGCUCGGUUCAUUUAAACAACUAAUUCUCCCUUUUGUCUUGUUCAGAGCAAACAUUUCAUGGACAUGGUUCUUAUUAUAACCAGACUACACUCCACCCAGCAGAGCAGACAUUGCUGGGAGGUUGCUGGUACAAUAUAUGAGAAGGAAAUUAAAUAAUGUGCAAAAAACAUUGACAGAAAAUUCAUUAAUUUGAGUCUUGAUGGGUGGAGCAAUGUACACAGUGAUCCAGUAAUAUGUGCUGGUGUGACAACAGAAGAUGGGGUUGUAUCUUACAAAAACAAUUGAUAUAUCAGGAAAUGCCCAUAUAGCAGAAUACUUAAAAGAAGUAGCAGUAAAAACUCUAAUAGGGUAUGAACAAAAAUUCAAGUGUCAGCUGUGUAACUUUGUCACAGUACUGCAAAUGGAGCAAAGAUGAGAAGAAAUCUAGAAGAAGAUAAUGAAGGGCAUCUGAAACUUAUAACAUGGGCACUGGGCUCAUUUGACAUACGUUUUAACCCAAGACUUAAGUACAACUCCAAGAAUAAAGGAAAAUGUUGUUGAAAUUGCAAAAUCCAUCUAACAACCACUUUGCUUCAGUUUCCCUGAAGAGAGCCGGAGGGUCCACGAUAAACGAUGGCAUCUUCGGAGCUGUUUAUUAAGAAUUGGCCUAUGCUGAUGACAAUUUUUGAAGAAACAAUUGCAGCCAAAAUAGACAACAUUGGACUAAAGAGAAAUGUAGACGACAUGCUAAAUAUCCUGAGCCCUAGUUCCAUAGCCUCGGACAAACUGCAGAAGGACCACUGCUGCUUGGCUUAUGCCCUUGAAAUUCGGAAGGUGCUUCAAGAGAACUUGAAGAAAGAAAGACCCACCAACAAAGUCAAAUUGCAGGCAGUAAAGAAGCAGAUGGAUCAAGCACUUUCUCCACCUCAUUUUCUUGCCAAUAUUCUAGAUGCCUAACUGCUGAAGAAGAUGCUGCUAUGAAAUGGACAUUUAAUAAUCACCUGUCAAUCAGGCCAUCAGUAAAUUUCAGGGUGGGGAAGGAUCAGUCAAGUAGUACAUGUUUGCUGAUAAGAACAUAGGCAGGGCCAUACUGAAUCAGACCAAUGGUCCAUCUAGCCCAGUAUCCUGUCUUGUGACAGUGGCUGGCGCCAGAUGCUUCAGAGGGAAUGUACAGAACAGGGCAAUUAUUGAGUGAGCCAUCUGCUGUAGGCUGUAGGCUGGUGAUGCUCUAAAGAAAGUUAGUGGUGGAAGGCACUAGCUGGAGCCACAGCUUGUUGAAGGGCUAAACCAUCUUUUGACAGCAAUAGCUUCUUCUGCAGGCACAGAAAGAAUAUUUUCUUCAUUUGAAUUAAUUCAGUUAAAGCUAAGAAAUUGGUUGGCAGUUGAAAAAGUUGGGGAUCUCGUCUUUCUCUUCCAGUCAUGGAAUAAAAACAAAGAGGGAAGGGAUGAGAUCUACUAGUUUUAAAAGUUUGAAGGACAGCCUGAGUAAUGUAGGAGACUAUUGUCUCAUUUUCAAGAGAUUUAGGCAGGGUGGGAACUUAAGCUCCAGUCACUUUCACUUAGGCAUAUCUAAAAAUGUUCCCAGGCUGACCUGAAAUAAUCAGUUUAAAUCUCUGACUACAGUUAAAUGCUCUGUUUAAUAAAUCAUUUAGUUGUAAAUGUGAAACGUGUUUUGGUCAGAGAAGUUUACGUAUCCCAAACAUUUUAGGUUGUUUUGUUUAAUAAAAACAUAUUGUAUAUGC